rnacentral:lncRNA from 1 species
GGAGGGAAUUAUCUGACCCUCCACUACUUUAACACUAUGAGCUACCUCAACAACGAGAAGAUUUCACGCCACCUCGAUACAACCCUGCUCCUCCGUCGUACCAUCCGAUACUCUCAUAAUACAAUUCAGAGCCCCCAUCGUACUAUCCAACACCAUCACAAUACAAUUCAGAGCCCCCACUGUAUCACACGAUACAAUUAUAAGGUCAUCCGGUUCCUUCCCAGCAACAUUUGACCCUUUUUCCAUGGGACUCAGUUUCACCAUGAUGGACUUGACAGAGAUUAACACGGGGGACCCUGAUGCAUUUCCAAGAAUGAACUGGUUAGCAACGUAUCAUGCCACAAUGGAUUAUUUCCACAAGAAAAAUUGUAUCUAAGCCUCCUAACAAAGAGUCAUUACAAGCUAAUAAAAGUUUCAAAUAUUAUUCUUCCCUAACAAAUUCCUUAAUACACAACGCUUU